rnacentral:rRNA from 1 species
UACGUAGGUGGCGAGCGUUGUCCGGAUUUACUGGGUGUAAAGGGCGUGUAGGCGGGUUUUUAAGUCCGGUGUGAAAUGCCACGGCUCAACCGUGGAAUUGCACUAGAAACUGGAAAUCUUGAGUGCUGGAGAGGAAAGCGGAAUUCCUAGUGUAGCGGUGAAAUGCGUAGAUAUUAGGAGGAACACCAGUGGCGAAGGCGGCUUUCUGGACAGUAACUGACGCUGAGGCGCGAAAGCGUGGGGAGCAAACAGGAUUAGAUACCCUGGUAGUCCACGCUGUAAACGAUGGAUACUAGGUGUGGGAGGUAUCGACCCCUUCCGUGCCGGAGUUAACACAAUAAGUAUCCCACCUGGGGAGUACGGCCGCAAGGUUGAA